UGGGGAAUAUUGGACAAUGGGGGCAACCCUGAUCCAGCGAUGUCGCGUGUGUGAAGAAGGCCUUUGGGUUGUAAAGCACUUUAGUUGGGGAAGAAGGCUGUAUAGUGAAUAGUUAUACAGUUUGACGUUACUCAAAGAAUAAGCACCGGCUAACUCUGUGCCAGCAGCCGCGGUAAUACAGAGGGUGCAAGCGUUAAUCGGAAUUACUGGGCGUAAAGGGCGCGUAGGCGGUUUUAUAAGUUGGAUGUAAAAUUCCUGGGCUUAACCCGGGGUAUGCACACAAAACUGUAUGACUAGAGUAGAGUAGAGGAAAGUAGAAUUCCCGGUGUAGCGGUGAAAUGCGUAGAUAUCGGGAAGAAUACCAGUGGCGAAGGCGGCUUUCUGGGCUCAUACUGACGCU
rnacentral:rRNA from 1 species